rnacentral:rRNA from 1 species
ACAGUCACACAUUAGAUACCCGGGUAGUCCAGGGUGUAAACGCUGCGGGCUUGGUGUUGGGGGUCCUUUGAGGGCGCCCAGUGCCGGAGAGAAGUUGUUAAGCCUGCUGCUUGGGGAGUACGUCCGCAAGGAUGAAACUUAAAGGAAUUGGCGGGGAGCACCGCAACGGGAGGAGCGUGCGGUUCAAUUGGAUUCAACGCCGGACAACUCACCAGGAGCGACGGUUACAUGAAGGCCAGGCUGAUGACCUUGCCUGAUUUUCCG